UUCAGAGACAAGGUCUUUGUCUGUUGCUCAGGAUGGAGUGUAGUGGUGCCAUAGUACACUGUAAUCUUGAAUUUCUGGACUACUGGCAUACACCACCAUGCUUAGGUUCGGGCCACAACAUCCGUGACUUUACCGGUUUUGGUCUCUUCCUUGUAACCUUUGGCUCCAGGAUGCUGCGCAGUUCCUCUCUGCACUAUCUAUCAGAAUGUUGCUCUGCGUGCUUGAAAGUUUCGCCAAACAGAAGUACACAAGAACAAACAGAGGUGAAACACAAAUCCCCUCAGCCCUGGAGGAAAAGGCCUUGAAGCUCUUCCAGUGCAGAGGCCACGCAGAGGACAUGCUCCUACCUGUGCACAUCAGCCAUGCCUGGGGUGCCUCCUGGAGUCCAGACUGCUGGCGAUGGAAUCCAUCAUGUUGCUGAUGUCACUGUAAGUCGCAGCCUGCAGGCUGAGCUAUGGGGCAGUUUGAGGGGCCAGAAGUUUUCUCCUGGAUGUCAUCUUCAGCAUACCCAGGAACCAGAGAAAAUGUAAUUCUUCCCAUGCCCAUCUCACUCCUGCAGACUGGGGUCCCGC
rnacentral:lncRNA from 1 species